AUUGAACGCUGGCGGCAGGCCUAACACAUGCAAGUCGAGCGAGCGGCGGACGGGUGAGUAAUGUAUGGGGACUGCCCGAUAGAGGGGGAUAACUACUGGAAACGGUAGCUAAUACCGCAUACUAUCGGAUAACCCAUAUGGGAUUAGCUAGUAGGUGGGGUAAUGGCUCACAUAGGCGACGCGCCCUAGCUGGUCUGAGAGGAUGAUCAGCCACCAUGGGACGGAGACACGGCCCAGACUCCUACGGAGGCAGCAGUGGGGAAUAUUGCCCAAUGGGCGAAAGCCUGAUGCAGCCAUGCCGCGUGUAUGAAGAAGGCCCUAGGGUUGUAAAGUACUUUCAGUCGGGAGGCGUUACCGACAGAAGAAGCACCGGCUAACUACGUGUCAGCAGCCGCGGUAAUAC
rnacentral:rRNA from 1 species